AAAAUUUACCUUCCUCCUCUUCAUCUCCUCUCUUCUCUUUCUAUCCAUCUGUUCCUCUCUCUCUCUAGAAAAUCUAGAAUCCCCUUGUUUCCCUCCCUCCACAGAUCUCCAAAUUCCUUCUCACCAACUCCCCCUCUCUCUUUCUAUCCCACACAUUUCUCCGCCGAUCAUCUAGAUUCUUCCCGAUAACCUCCGUUUUCCGGCCGGUCUUCAUGGACCACCGACCUUUUUACCAUGCCUGAGCCGCGCCGCAGAAAUCGGACCCCUAAAAACCCCGACCCGAUUACCCGAAGGGCCGCACUGAGGAAGACGAAUUGUGGUAAAAUUAAUAAGACUAGGAAUAAUCGGAAGAAGAAGAGCGGUCCGGUGCUCGAAACGAGGUCGUUUGAGUUGAAGGAACACCAGGUUAGGGAUUUCAGAGCCAUGGAUGAGUACGAUAGCGGUGGCCGCAGCGGCGAUAAGGGUCCGGUAGCUGAGGAAGAAAUCUCAGCUCCUAUUCCUGACAAGGUCCAGGUUGGUGGUUCCCCGCUGUACAAAGUAGAGAGGAAAUUGGGGAAAGGAGGCUUUGGACAAGUAUAUGUUGGCCGGCGCACUGCACCCGGCCCUGGAGCUAUUGAGGUUGCCUUGAAAUUUGAGCAUAGAAGCAGUAAAGGAUGUAAUUAUGGCCCACCAUAUGAGUGGCAAAUUUACAAUGCACUUGGUGGUAGUCAUGGAGUUCCAAGAGUUCAUUAUAAGGGCCGGCAAGCUGACUACUAUAUCAUGGUUAUGGAUAUUCUUGGGCCUAGUUUGUGGGAUGUCUGGAAUAACAGCUCGCACACAAUGUCAAUUGAAAUGGUUGCAUGUAUUGCCAUUGAAGCAAUUUCCAUAUUGGAGAAGAUGCACUCUAGAGGAUAUGUGCAUGGAGAUGUGAAACCUGAGAACUUUUUGCUUGGUCCGCCUGGAACUCCUGAGGAGAAGAAGCUAUUCCUCGUUGACCUUGGAUUAGCCACCAGGUGGCGAGAUAGUUCAACUGGCCUGCAUGUAGAUUAUGAUCAACGUCCAGAUGUUUUCAGGGGAACUGUGCGGUAUGCAAGUGUGCAUGCUCAUCUUGGUAGAACUGGUAGCAGGAGAGAUGACUUGGAAUCUUUAGCUUACACAUUGAUAUUUCUUCUCCGUGGGCGGUUACCUUGGCAAGGAUACCAGGGAGAAAAUAAAGGAUUCCUUGUCUGCAAGAAAAAGAUGGCCACUUCUCCAGAAACUCUAUGUUGCUUUUGCCCUCAACCAUUCAGACUUUUUGUUGAGUAUGUGGUGAAUUUGAAGUUUGAUGAAGAACCGAACUAUGCAAAAUAUAUAUCCCUUUUUGAUGGAGUUGUUGGUCCAAAUCCGGAUAUUAGACCAAUAAAUACUGAUGGUGCUCAGAAGCUUAUAUGUCAGGUUGGACAAAAGAGAGGGCGAUUAACCAUGGAGGAAGAGGACGACGAGCAGCCAAAGAAGAAAAUUCGCAUGGGGAUGCCGGCAACACAAUGGAUUAGUGUUUACAAUGCUCGUAGGCCUAUGAAGCAAAGAUAUCACUACAAUGUGGCAGAUGUGAGGCUUUCCCAACAUAUUGAGAAAGGAAAUGAAGAUGGGUUGUUUAUCAGCAGUGUGGCUUCCUGUUCAAAUCUUUGGGCUCUCAUUAUGGAUGCUGGAACUGGAUUCAGUUCCCAAGUUUAUGAACUCUCUCCAUUUUUUCUCCACAAGGAAUGGAUCAUGGAACAAUGGGACAAAAAUUACUAUAUCAGCGCAAUAGCAGGAGCUAACAAUGGAAGCUCUUUGGUUGUAAUGUCUAAAGGGACCUCAUUCUUACAGCAGUCCUAUAAAGUCAGUGAGUCAUUUCCUUUCAAGUGGAUUAAUAAAAAAUGGAGGGAAGGAUUUUAUGUUACUGCGAUGGCCACUGCAGGGAGUAGAUGGGCUAUUGUUAUGUCUCGGGGUGCAGGAUUUUCUGACCAGGUUGUAGAACUAGAUUUUCUGUAUCCUAGUGAAGGUAUUCAUCGAAGGUGGGACAGUGGUUACCGCAUCACGUCAACUGCAGCAACUUGGGAUCAGGCAGCUCUCGUUCUUAGUGUUCCAAGGAGAAAACCUGCUGAUGAAACACAAGAGACUCUUCGAACCUCUGCUUUUCCAAGUACACAUGUGAAGGAGAAAUGGGCAAAAAACCUUUACAUAGCAUCUAUUUGUUAUGGUCGAACUGUGUCAUGAACAACCAAGUUUUAUUGGGAUGCCAUCGAUCUAAUUUUGACAGAUUAUGAACAACAACCAGCUUUACAUUUACUGCCUCUUUGGAAUCAAAGAUCCUCUCACAGCAAAUUGAUUGGUCUUGGCCUUUGGAGUUGAUGUUGAAUAGUUGAUAAUUUGGUCAAGGUCUUCGAAGCAGAAACACAGCAGGGAAGUUUACAUGUAUGAAGCAAGACUUAUGAUGCCAAGAGGGAAAACCUAUCUUUCUGUCGCUAUGUGUUUCAUCAUUGACUGGCUAUCGGUUUAACUGGACAACACAGCACUCAGUUCAGUUUUGUAUGCUAGAACUGGUAUUAAGAAAAGCUGGAAUGUGGCUUUGUGAGGGAAGUUUAUAGUUUAUACAGUGAAAGUUUGUUUGUAGCUCUGACUCUUAGAUAUCCAUCUAGUGAUACUAUUGGAGAGUUGUUAAAACGUGAACACGAGGUAUGACAUAUCUUUCUCUUGAAAUCAGAUGCCUUGUCCUGACUUAAACUAUUUUAACUAUUUGAUGCAUUUCUAACUAUGGGUUUAGGAGCUUGGCCUUGUUAAUUGCAACAGGAGAUGUCACUACUUUUUACUAUUAACUAAUCGAAAUUGGGUGAAAUAUUUUGACAUGAUGGAUAAUGGAUACCGAAUGACAUCCAAGUGUAGUGGUAGACGGUAGACAACUUUUACAUGCUUGCAAACGAUGCAUGAUUUGCUUCUAUGCUCUUAGUAUGAUCAUGCAUUUUUAAGUUGCUAAAUAUAACUGGUGUAGCAGUUGGUACACAGUUAUUCCCCUCAACUCCCCAAACAUUGGUCUUUUUCUUCCAGUUGUAGGUCGUGAAGUGGUCACCUUAUUCUGAAUUUUCUAGACUGAAGUGAUUCAAUCUGGCUGCACUGGUCAUGGCUUUAAAGAAGACAAACCCAAGACGAACAUGAGGCAUCUUGUUCAAUUGGGGAGCUGGUUAUUUAUUUCACAGUUGAAUAUUAUUGAAUUUAACUCAUUUGUGGACACAUGUUUAUAGAGAUCCCUUCUGUGAUUGCAACU